AUGCAUCUCUUCUGGUGGAUCACCCACAUCUUUCUAUCCCUCCCUUCUCUCCUCUCUCUUGUCCAAUCCCUCACGUGCGACAAUGAGAAACAGUAUGCUUGGCCACUGCAUGACAGCCAAUGGUGCUGCAACAAGUGUCCACCAGGUCAGCAUCUGGUGGGACGCUGCACCGGUCAGAACAGCCCUACCCAGUGUGCUGACUGCGCCAGCGGCUACUACUCAGACAGCUACAACUUCAACAUAGGCUGCAAAUCCUGCGACGGCUGCAGCAUGAGUGAGCUGCAGUAUGUAUCUAACUGUUCCACCAAGCAGAAUGAUGUGUGCAGCUGUAAACCAGGCUACCGCUGCAGAGGAAGUGGCACCUGUCUGGACUGUGAGGAGAUCCCCAGCCCGAACACACCCAAACUCAUACCGACACCUCCCAUCAUGCCAGCUACAGUGUCAAACCACUCGGUGCCUGGUAUCCCUAAUCAUAGACCUAAUCCGGUCACCAAACCUGGUAUUGGGCCCAGCACAAAACCAAACCAAGAUGAUAGCAAGUGGCUCCCGGUGUGUGUGUCUGCAGUGUGUGUGUGUCUACUGCUCACCUGCCUUGUUGCCAUCUCAAAGCUCAAACCUUUUCUGCGAUGGAUUGGUUCACCAAACAGCUUCUGGUCUCCCAAAAAGACAACUCCAGCCAAUCAGAGCACAGCGGAGGAGGAAGUGCCCAUGCCGGUCCAGGAAGUGUGUGGAAAGCCAGAGCUGCUACUAGACGUUUGAUGGAGGAAGUCAGUGUCAAAGGAGAGGAUGAGAACUCACAAGUGAGCUGGGAGACCCAGGAGACAAACAGACUACCUCACAUUCCCAUUGAAGUGAAACUAACCUGAAGGCUAGACAGGCUGCUGUAUUGGUUUAAUGCAGUGGCUUCUGUAUCUAGGAGUUUCAGAAAGGACAAGAAAAUAGGACAAAAAGACACUUUGAAGUAUGAAGACACAGGCUAAAGAUGAGAGAGGGAGUGGGAGUCUGUGACCGAGAAAGAGUAACUGGAAGAGUGUGAACGAGACAGACAGACAGACAGACAGACAGACAGACAGACAGACAGACAGACACAGACACAGAGACAGACAGACAGACAGACAGACAGACAGACAGACAGACACAGACACAGACAGACAGACAGACAGACAGACUUGUGUGCUGAAUACAUGUACUGUACAUGUUUAUGUUGAAGAUGUUUUAUACCUUCGUUACAAUUAUUAUGCUUUUUGCUGUAUCUAUGCUUUAUGCCAGUGUUUACUCUUACAUAGUAGUGGCUGUAUUUUAAAGAACAGAAUCACAAAUGUUACAGGCCUACUGUAAUGUCAUACAAUCGCCCCAUCACCUGUAUUCACUGAAAAUGUAUAUUUCGUAUUUUGCUUUUAAUUUGUGAAAAAACAGUUCAAGGUGCCAAAUGAACACAGAAAAAAACAGUUCAAGGUGCCAAAUGAACACAGAAAAAAACAGUUUGCAGCAGUUGAGACAAAGCUUUUUAUACAGUUGAAUAAAAUGAGAGCAAGUGGAUGUGUACAUGACCACCAUAGUGAGAUGUCUAGCUCUAUCUAAGUCUAGAACAGGAAAUAAUGACCAUUCUAGAGUUUUGGGAUUCACUGGUGUUCUGAGAGUAAGAGUGGCAGGUGGCCUAGUGGUUAGAGCAUUGGACUAGUAACCAAAAGGUUGAAUCCCUGAGCUGACAAGGUAAAAAUCUGUUGUUCUGCCCCUGAACAAGGCAGUUAACCCACUGUUCCUAGGCCGUCAUUGAAAAUGAGAACUUGUUCUUAACUGACUUGCCUAGUUAAAUAAAAGGGCUCUAUUCAAUCUGUAUUGCGGAAGUGCAGCUUUACAGCCUGAAAGAAAUGGAAAGGCAAUGUUCCUGUGUCAGAAGCGACUGCUUUCACAUUAAACGCUGCAUAUGUUGGCUCAAUCAGAAAUGACCUCUGUUCCUAUCACGCAAUCUGUAGUGAUACAGACUGAAUAGAGCCCCAGGUAGAUGUUGUCCCUUACCACUGAUCCAGGGUCAGUGGUAAGUCUUAAUCCUCCUUAUGAUUAACAUUAGGAUGUAUGGUUGGCUAAACUGAUCCUAGAAGGGAAGCUUUCACUUGGUGCGUCCUC
rnacentral:lncRNA from 13 species